rnacentral:rRNA from 1 species
UACGAGGGGGGCAAGCGUUGUUCGGAAUCACUGGGCGUAAAGCGCACGUAGGCGGACUCUUAAGUCGGUGGUGAAAUCCUGGAGCUCAACUCCAGAACUGCCUUCGAUACUGAGAGUCUCGAGUCCGGGAGAGGUGAGUGGAACUGCGAGUGUAGAGGUGAAAUUCGUAGAUAUUCGCAAGAACACCAGUGGCGAAGGCGGCUCACUGGCCCGGUACUGACGCUGAGGUGCGAAAGCGUGGGGAGCAAACAGG